UAAUGAUUGUUUUCGAUUGUCUUUUCUCUAAUUUUUGUGCUAUUUUCACAUUUCCUGACCGGUGUGAGAAAAAUAUUUCUCCUCACUAGUGAAAAAUCUGUUCUCGGCAAAUGAUUAGUCGAAAUUUGAUUAUGACGUCUAAAUGUUUUGUUUUCUUCUGAAUUUUCCUAUUGUGACGCCAUGAAAAAAGGCGGCAAUGCCUGAUGACGUCGCAUAUAAAGAACACAAGUUUCUGAAAAUCUUUGAAAAAGAAGGAUAAAAAUCAUUAGAGAAACAGAUUCCGACACUAUAACUAGUGUAUUACGAUAUUUCUCCACUCUCGACAGUUAAAUUUUAGUUAUUUAAAGAGCUCGGCAAGCCUCGCGCUUUAAAUAAUAAAAUUUAACUGUCUCGAGUGCAGAAAUAUCGUAAUACACUUGUUGCAGUGUAGGAAUCUAUAUUUUUUAGUUUUCAUUAUAACUG
rnacentral:lncRNA from 1 species